AGUGAACGCUGGCGGUAGGCCUAACACAUGCAAGUCGAACGGCAGCACAUUAAGACCUUGCUCUUACGGGUGGCGAGUGGCAGACGGGUGAGGAAUACAUCGGAAUCUACUUUUUCGUGGGGGAUAACGUAGGGAAACUUACGCUAAUACCGCAUACGACCUACGGGUGAAAGCAGGGGAUCUUCGGACCUUGCGCGAUUGAAUGAGCCGAUGCCGGAUUAGCUAGUUGGCGGGGUAAAGGCCCACCAAUGCGACGAGCCGUAGCUGGUCUGAGAGGAUGAUCAGACACACUGGAAGUGAGAGACGGUCCAGACUCCUACGGGAGGCAGCAGUGGGGAAUAUUGGACGAUGGGCGCGAGCAUGAUCCAGCAAUGGCGCGUGGGUGAAGAAGGCAUUGGGGUGGUAAAGUCCUUUUGUUGGGAAAGAAAAGCUGCAGGUUAAUGCCAAGCUGUUCUGACGGUACCCAAAGAAUAAGCACCGGCUAACUUCGUG
rnacentral:rRNA from 1 species